GACGAACGCUGGCGGCGUGCUUAACACAUGCAAGUCGAACGGAAAGGCCCUGCUUUUGUGGGGUGCUCGAGUGGCGACCGGGUGAGUAACACGUGAGUAACCUGCCCUUGACUUUGGGAUAACUUCAGGAAACUGGGGCUAAUACCGGCUAGGAGCUCCUGCUGCAUGGUGGGGGUUGGAAAGUUUCGGCGGUGGGGGAUGGACUCGCGGCUUAUCAGCUUGUUGGUGGGGUAGUGGCUUACCAAGGCUUUGACGGGUAGCCGGCCUGAGAGGGUGACCGGCCACAUUGGGACUGAGAUACGGCCCAGACUGCUACGGGAGGCAGCAGUGGGGAAUAUUGCACAAUGGGCGGAAGCCUGAUGCAGCAACGCCGCGUGCGGGAUGACGGCCUGCGGGUUGUAAACCGCUUUCGCCUGUGACGAAGCGUGAGUGACGGUAAUGGGUAAAGAAGCACCGGCUAACUACGUG
rnacentral:rRNA from 1 species